AGCGAACGCUGGCGGCAGGCCUAACACAUGCAAGUCGAGCGCCGUAGCAAUACGGAGCGGCAGACGGGAGAGUAACACGUGGGAACGUGCCCUUUGGUUCGGAACAACCCAGGGAAACUUGGGCUAAUACCGGAUAAGCCCUUACGGGGAAAGAUUUAUCGCCGAAGGAUCGGCCCGCGUCUGAUUAGCUAGUUGGUGGGGUAAUGGCCCACCAAGGCGACGAUCAGUAGCUGGUCUGAGAGGAUGAUCAGCCUCACUGGGACUGAGACACGGCCCAGACUCCUACGGGAGGCAGCAGUGGGGAAUAUUGGACAAUGGGCGCAAGCCUGAUCCAGCCACGCCGCGUGGGUGAUGAAGGCCCUAGGGUUGUAAAGCCCUUUCGGCGGGGAAGAUAAUGACGGUACCCGCAGAAGAAGCCCCGGCUAAUUUCGUGCCAGCCGCCGCAGUAAGAC
rnacentral:rRNA from 1 species